CAGGUUCUUCAAUCUUUGGGGAUAUGAAUACAGGAAUUGGCCAAGCACCAACAUUCCUCAGAGUGGCUUACAACAGAUUCCCAUCAGGGGUGAAAUCCAGCAGGUCCUGACAGGUUCUGGAGAACCGGUAGUGGAAAUUUUGAGCAUUUCGGAGAACUGGCAAAUACCACCUCUGGCUGGUCCCAGAGUGGGGUGGGAAUGGAGAUUUUUCAAUAUCCUUCCCCUGCCACGUCCACCAAGCUACACCCACAGAAGUGGUAGUAAAAAAAAUUGGAUUUCACCACUGAUUCCCAUCAAUAGCUAGCACCCCGGCAACAACUCAGGAAGCGCUCAGGAGGAUAAGCUCCAUUGACAGUUACAGAUACUUGGCUGGCAGCACAUUCUUGCCCAAGCUAAAGACAGAAAUAUCCAGCUGAGCAGAAAGAGAGAGAUCUGCUGGAAGGGCUGUGCCAAGGCAUCCAAGAAUCAGGUUGCCUGACUGCAAUGGGUGUGGUACUGACUUCCUUGCAUCUUUGGAAGAAGUUGAUCUCACUUAAAGCAACAUCUGAGCAUACUGGAGAAAGGAAAGUGGGAAGCAAACCAAUUAUUUUUUUUCCCCUUUUGACCCUGAAUGGCAGAAACCUCUCACAGGCAGAAAGACUUCCCACUUGUUAAGCUCAAAUUGAGACUGUGAUAAACAUAUUAUAUGGCUUUCUUGAGCAAUCCUGACUCUGUUUACUUGUUGUCUGGUUGGCUGGCUGG